GCCUUUCUGGGAAGCAGAGAGGGGACAAGUGUGAGGCUGUACCCUGCCCAGCGCUUUGUGGUUUUCUGUUUUAGUAGCAGAACUUGGAACCGUGUGUUUCACAUCACUCCCUAUUCUGUCUGUUGAGGACACUGGCCCCACCUCCCCAACAUUCAGUAACGGCAAAAGGUGGAGAAACAACCCGGUUUCGAAGCUUCGUUUUGUGCAGGAUUGUGACGAAGGACAAAUAUUGCCAUGACAACAGCUACAGGCAGAAAAUCGAGAGAAGACUGCGAAAGCUUGUAUGUGUGACAACUGAAGUGUGAUACUGUAGGCUACUAUUCUGGCCAUGAGCAUUGUGUUGUGAGCUCCUAAGUGGCAGGUCUUGAGUAGCAUCACCCAAGUGGGUACUUCACGCUGUUAGGGGGAGGAGUAGCUUUCUAGCUAAUCGACCAUGUAGCAGCCAGCAAACAGAAAAUCUCCAGAGCACUACUGAAGCUGUAGACCUGACUGCUUCUGUGACACUAAAUGACUGGCCUCCUCUGAAACCAUCAUAGACCAUGGAUAUUCAUUUGAACUCUCAAAGAAAUGAAUAUCCAUCAGCUUACAAUCGUACACGUCUGAAGUAGCUUCUGUUAGAUUACGGAUAUUUAUAAUGCUCCCAGAUUUCAGUCAAUAAUAACCACUGCAUGAAUGUAACUUGAACUAAGGGGUUUGUACCAGCUCUGGUAAGAGAACUAAGUUGAUCAUCAGUUGAUUGUUCCACAUUAGAAGUCAAAUCAUGCUUUGUCUUCAAAUAUAAAAAAUAUCCUGGGAUAGACCAGUGUUUUCCUAACCUUUUUCUUCAUUUCUUCAGCUGUCCCCAAUCCCAUAGGAGAUGAAUAAACUCUUUGAAGAAUCCUAGAAGUUAUCUAGAAGUAGUUGAAAAUUGACCAUCUGUUAGUGAUUUACAUUAUUGUUCUUAUUUGUUAUGCGAGUGCCCCAUAGUACCCCCUGGUUUUCCACUAAGUCUAGGCCUGCCUUUUUUUAUUUGGCAGGCACAGACAGACCUGAAGCAGAGCACAGUAAUGCUGCUGAGCCAACUC